CAUCAGUGUGCAAAGGAGCGUUACAAACAACGUGUACAAAACCAUUUUAAAAUAGUUCCCUUCGGGUUACAGUUUCAGGAAAACCGGCGACUAUUCAAGUCAAAGAUGCGUAAGGUGCGUGAGCUUUGCAAUGGUCUCCAACAGAGUUCACCAGCGUGUUGGGUCCCAGGAUUAUCCGGGUACUUUGAGGCCACUGCGUGCACACCAAGUUGUGCUCUCCGAGAAGUAUUUUGCGUAUGUUUUCGGCGCCUGUCACGCGGAUAACAGGUUUCCCUAAGAGAAACGCCCAGUCUGGCGCAAGGGCGAUUUUCCCGGAGGAAAACAGAAGGCGUGGAGUUGAGGUAAAAACGCACUUCUGUAUUUUCAACGAGGAUGAAUUAGACUUUACAUAUCCAACACGUUCACACUUG